GUGGAUUAGAUACCCGGGUAGUCCACGCCGUAAACGAUGUCAACUAGCCGUUGGGAGCCUUGAGCUCUUAGUGGCGCAGCUAACGCAUUAAGUUGACCGCCUGGGGAGUACGGCCGCAAGGUUAAAACUCAAAUGAAUUGACGGGGGCCCGCACAAGCGGUGGAGCAUGUGGUUUAAUUCGAAGCAACGCGAAGAACCUUACCAGGCCUUGACAUCCAAUGAACUUUCCAGAGAUGGAUUGGUGCCUUCGGGAACAUUGAGACAGGUGCUGCAUGGCCGUCGCCAACU
rnacentral:rRNA from 1 species